UUUCCUGUGGUUCAGUCAGUAGAAUAUUGCGCUAGUGACAUGAAGGUUGUUGGUUCAAAUACCAGGGAAA